UACGUAGGGUGCGAGCGUUGUCCGGAAUUAUUGGGCGUAAAGGGCUCGUAGGCGGUUUGUCGCGUCGGGAGUGAAAACCUUGGGCUUAACUCAGGCUUGCUUUCGAUACGGGCAGACUAGAGGUAUGCAGGGGAGAACGGAAUUCCUGGUGUAGCGGUGAAAUGCGCAGAUAUCAGGAGGAACACCGGUGGCGAAGGCGGUUCUCUGGGCAUGAUCUGACGCUGAGGAGCGAAAGCGUGGGGAGCAAACAGG
rnacentral:rRNA from 1 species